ACAACUUACCACCCUGUUUUAGCAUGAACGUGCAAAAACAAAACCAAACAAAAAACGUCAUAACAGCUGACACCACCCCCCCUUUACAGCUCCGUCAGGAACUUCAAACUCCUCUAGUUAUAACCCAGCAAUAGUUGUAAGAACUUUUCCCAAUUUUGGAUCACUAAUAUGGAGAGGCAGGUGGAUAUAUGAGUCUACCUUUGAUUAAUAUGCUGUCUAUGCUGUAUUGGCUGUAUUAAAUAGAAUGGGAUUUGUGUCUUUUUGGACACAAAACAAGUGUCAGACGAAUUUAAACAACUCUCCCACCACCCAUUACAGUUAUUAUAAGUUGACAGGUUAGGCAGCCGUUGCCGUUUUACACAUCUAGCAGUUCCAGUGCACCAUUAACAUUCACCCAUGAAGCUUUUCAGUUAAUUUAACUCCAAUAUUCAUUCUCUUUGAGCUUUGUUUUUUUAAAUCUUACCAGCUCUUGAGGGAAAUACCUAUCUCCGUAGCUGAGUUUAACCAGCUAAUCUCAAACGUUGGGAGCGCACAGUGCUUUCUUAGAGCUUUUUCCCUGAAGCAGCUGCCUCCUGUAAUGUGUCCAUAAAACCAAAACCGUUGGCUCAAAGGAGUUCAAUGCUGGGGAGCUAAGAAAGUGUGCUAGACUACGUAGGCGUGUGCUAGGCUACCUAGUUGUUUGCUAGUAUACGUGUGCUAGGCUACAUGCACGUGCACUAGGCUGCGUAGACGUGUGCUAGGCUACGUAGACGUGUGAUAGGCUACGCAUACGUGCGCUAGGCUAAGUAGACAUGCGCUAGGCUUCCUAUACGUGUGAUAGGCUACGUCAGACAUGGGCAAACUACGGCCCGCGGGCCAUAUCCGGCCCGUUAGGCUUUUUAAUCCGGCCCGCCGAACUUGUCCAAAUCACAGCUUUGUUUACUUCCGGUGUGCGUUGGCGCGGAAAGAACUCGUCACACAAACCCCUUCACCAUGAUUUGUCAAUCCGUUUGUCUGUCAACAUUUUACGAAAAGAACAACCAAUGAACACUCAGUAAAUCACAAAGGACCCGCCCACCACACAGGUGAGGCUCAUUUAGAAACAGCCGCAGUGAUUUGGGCGAGCAGCGCGGAGCCUGGAGCAGCUGCAGAGCCACGAGGAGGAACACGCAGCCAGAAGAGAUCCACUUGGACCCGGAGAGGAUUCACCAGCGCCUACAGCUCAACCUGAAGCUCCACCUGCAGCUCAACCUGCCCGGCCAGCAGAGAGGUCUCGUGACACGAUGACAUGAUGUUAUUAUAGUGAAGCCAUAUUGUAAAUAGUCUGUGUCAAUAGUUGUGUUCUGUUUUCUAUUUCUCAACAUGUAUAUAAUGUAGAUUUUUUUAUUUAUUUAUGUACAAUACAUAUUUAU